AGAGCCAGUGUGGUUUAGUGGUUAAGAGCGGUAGACUCGUAAUCUGGUGAACGGGGUUCGCGUCCCCGCUCCUCCA
rnacentral:tRNA from 1 species